rnacentral:rRNA from 1 species
CGAACGCUGGCGGCAGGCCUAAUACAUGCAAGUCGAACGGCUCUUCGGAGCAGUGGCGGACGGGUGAGUAACGCGUGGGAAUGUGCCCUUAGGUACGGAACAACACAGGGAAACUUGUGCAAAUACCGUAUGUGCCCUUCGGGGGAAAGAUUUAUCGCCUUUGGAGCAGCCCGCGUUGGAUUAGGUAGUUGGUGAGGUAAAGGCUCACCAAGCCGACGAUCCAUAGCUGGUCUGAGAGGAUGACCAGCCACACUGGGACUGAGACACGGCCCAGACUCCUACGGGAGGCAGCAGUAGGGAAUCUUGCGCAAUGGGCGAAAGCCUGACGCAGCCAUGCCGCGUGUAUGAUGAAGGUCUUAGGAUUGUAAAAUACUUUCACCGGGGAAGAUAAUGACGGUACCCGGAGAAGAAGCCCCGGCUAACUUCGUGCCAGCAGCCGCGGUAACAC